rnacentral:rRNA from 1 species
UACGUAAAAACCAAGCGUUGUCCGGAUUUAUUGGGCGUAAAGAGCUCGUAGACGGUUUGGAUAGUCGGGUGUGAAAACUCCGAGCUCAACUCGGAGACGCCACCCGAUACUGCCAUGACUAGAGUCCGGUAGGGAAGCAGGGAAUUCCUGGUGUAGCGGUGAAAUGCGCAGAUAUCAGGAAGAACACCUAUGGCGAAGGCAGCUCUCUGGGACGGUACUGACGCUGAGACGCGAAAGCGUGGGGAGCGAACAGG